rnacentral:lncRNA from 1 species
UAUUCAAAUUGGCACCCCUCUUCAAAAACAUCUGAAGAAACUCUACCUGGGCUUUGAAAGAGUGGGCUGGCUAAACUGAUCAGAAGAAUCUGCACAAUUCCCCUGGCUGUAUGGUGACCAAACAGCUUUCAUGUCAUCAUUGUCUGCCAUCUUUUCCACGGAAGAGGCUGAACCGGGCCAGAGACAGACAGCAACAGGUGCCGUCUCUAGAGAUACGUGCUCCAGCAUGGACUGAUUUACCAAUACUGCCAACUCCUAUAUUUCACUCUCCUCAAGAAAGCAGCCAUCGCAUUUGAAAAUGAUCAGGUUCUCCAGAGACCUGAGGGAGCUGGAGAGAAACAAGGAGGGAUUCAAGCGGUCAAGGCUAAGUUAAACUGGGCCAGAAUGGCUGCCAGGAGGGAUUACAUGGGGCAGCUGCUGUGGGACUUUUUACAUCAAUAACGCAAGGCCACUUUGGGUCACCAACUACAAGCUUAGGAGCCACACAAUUGCCCCUUCACUCGGCUUAGAAACCAGCCAAACCUGAUUUACCACGGCUUUGAAAACCAAUGACCCUUUGUAUCCAUUCAUUGCCCCAUCGCCACACCAUUGACCUUCCCCCAAAACACUGGAGGACACUUCUCUUGGGAAGAAGAUGGAGAGCUAAACACAAUGCAACCUUACGUGACAAUGGCAACUUCAUAGGAACAUUUUGAAAGCAAAUCAUAUGCAGGCUGUAUUGAAUGAAUGAAUGAAUGAAUUAAAAAUUUUAAUUAAAGAUAUAUGAAAAAAUUACAUUAUAUUAUAGUAAUAAUAUAUUAGAUUUAAUAGUAUAUAUAUAUAUAUAUAUAUAUAUAUAUAUAUAUAUAUAUAUAUAUAUAUAUAUAUAUAUAUAUAUAUAUAUAUAUAUACACAAAUAAACUCAUAAAAUCAACUUAUUAAUUUAAAGAGAUAUUACUGUCAGUUUCCAAAAAAAAAAAAAAAAAAAAAGACAAAUGUGACAUAUACCAUAUAGAGCUAUGGGUAGUCUUAAAAUUAAUUCAUGCCAAUUUUAAACAAACAAACAAUGAUUAUUAUUCAAAUAUGACGCUUUUCACAGCUAUAUUAAAUAAAUUAAAAUUUAGAAUCAACAAUGAAAAAUACUAAAUAAAUGGUCAC